AACGAACGCUGGCGGCAGGCUUAACACAUGCAAGUCGAGCGCCCCGCAAGGGGAGCGGCAGACGGGUGAGUAACGCGUGGGAAUCUACCCAUCCCUACGGAAUAGCCCCGGGAAACUGGAAUUAAUACCGUAUACGCCCUACGGGGGAAAGAUUUAUCGGGGAUGGAUGAGCCCGCGUUGGAUUAGCUAGUUGGUGGGGUAAAAGCCUACCAAGGCGACGAUCCAUAGCUGGGCUGAGAGGAUGAUCAGCCACAUUGGGACUGAGACACGGCCCAAACUCCUACGGGAGGCAGCAGUGGGGAAUAUUGGACAAUGGGGGCAACCCUGAUCCAGCCAUGCCGCGUGAGUGAUGAAGGCCUUAGGGUUGUAAAGCUCUUUCACCGGGGAAGAUAAUGACGGUACCCGGAGAAGAAGCCCCGGCUAACUUCGUGCCAGCAGCCGCCGUAAAAC
rnacentral:rRNA from 1 species